ensembl:lncRNA
AUUCCCCUUUUCACAUUGGGUAGUUCGGUUCUACAGUGUGACUGGAAAGUGUCUCUCUUUAUUACAGACAUUCACUCCUCAUCAGUCCAGGACAGAAGUGGAGGGAUUUGCCACCUAGAGCGAGUGACCUCUCUCACAUUUACAGAAGGAAGGAGUGAAAGGAGGAUUACUGAGGAACACAAACACUCUGCCUCAUUCGCUUUGCAGAGAGGUGACUCAGUUGUGCCGAUGUGUGAAGAGGAUCUGUAAUUGAUGUUAACCACGCUGGGCGCUCAGCCAGAGCAUUCCACCCAGAUGUCCACAGGUGAUUGGCCACUGUGACUUGGUAGCUCGGAUCCAACCAAAGGGGAUGCUGUGAGUGACCUUGGCAGAUGGUCAGAGCCGCAGCCGUAUCAGCUGCCUCGAGGUGAUUUUUAACGCAUUUCUCCAUUUAUUCACUCCUUCGUUUUCUGUGUCACUCCCUCCUUUUCUCUGUCAUCCUCCAUCUUUCUGUCCCUCUGUUUGGUGAUAUAUUUAAAGAGAUGAUAUUGUUUCUGACUGUAAUAUCUUCUGAGGGAGAAAGUGUUUAAUGUUUUUCGACGUGCAUAAGGACUUCUCAUAUCGAAAUAUUAACCCUAAUUUAACCCCUUCAUAAAAUUGAAAAAACAUUUCAGGUAAUGUGUUUUUUUAUGCAUGUGUGUGCUUGGUACAUAAUGACUAUUUCUUUUUUCAUUUAUACAGAUUUAUUUCAACAUUCAAAAAUUAUUUUGCUGCUUGUUCAAUUAAUUAAAAUGAGCUAAUGCAACAAUGCUUGUUUGUCUUUUUUUGUCAUUUACAAUUAAUUUACAAUUACAAAAACAGAUGUUUACUAAAUUAAUUUGUAUUGGGACUACAUAAAUAUUUUUGUUGCCAUUACUUGAUCCUGGCAAGGGAUUUUUUUGUUCCCAGCAUGCUUUGCACGGCAUAUAAAUGAUGAAAUUAAGUGUUAUUUAAUGUGUUUUUGAGCAAUAUGAGAAAAGGGGGAGACUUGUUAGUGUUUAAUGUUCUGUCAUGUUGGGAUUUAGACUAAUUUUGUUAUGUCUGGUGGUUUGAGGGUUUCCGGUGUGGUGAAGAAUGGAGCUUAUGCUCUGAUUGAGGUAGGGUUCAUUAUGUUGUUUUACUGAGAAGUAAUUAAUAUGCAAAUUCUAUUGAGGAGGCCAGAUUUCUCUUUCUUGCUUACCAACACCAUACCUUACGUAAGGUAAACAAUAAUUUUGUGAUACUAAUAUGUGACCCUGGACCAUAAAACCAGUCUUAAGUCGAUGGGGUAUAUUUGUAGCAAUAGCCAAAAAAACAUUGUAUGGGUCAAAAUUAUUGAUUUUUCUUUUAUGCCAAAAAUCAUUAGAAUAUUAAGUAAAGAUCAUGUUCCAUGAAGAUAUUUUGUAAAUUUCCUACCGUAAAUACAUCAAAACUUAUUUUUUGAUUAGUAAUAUGCAUAGCUAAGAACUUCAUUUGGACAACUUUAAAGGUGAUUUUCUCAAUAUUUAGGUUUUUUUUUUUUGCACCCUCAGAUUCCAGAUUUUCAAAUAGUUGUAUCUCAGCCAAAUAUUGUCCGAUCCUAACAAACCAUACAUCAAUGGAAAACUUAUUUCUUCAGCUUUCAGAUGAUGUAUAAAUCUCAAUUUUGGAAACAAUUGACCCUUAUGAUUGGUUUUGUGGUCCAGGGUCACAUACUGUAUGUGCUGAACAGAGAUUUAGUUAGGUUACUUUGAAUGUAUUAGUUAUUUAGAGUUUGAUGUUAAGAAAACCCAUUUACAAUGUGUUCAACUGAAUUAAGUUCAAGAAUUAUUAUUAUUAAAUAAAUAUUUUUGUGAAAUUUCUAGGAACCUGCAAUAAUUCUUAUUUUUUUAAGAUAUGUUCUUCCAUAAUGCUAAUGAUCUUCAACUGAACCC